rnacentral:rRNA from 1 species
UACGUAGGGGGCUAGCGUUGUUCGGAUUUACUGGGCGUAAAGGGCGCGUAGGCGGCCAGCGCAAGUCAGUUGUGAAAUCUCCGGGCUUAACUCGGAAAGGUCAACUGAUACUGCGCGGCUAGAGUGCGGAAGGGGCAACUGGAAUUCUUGGUGUAGCGGUGAAAUGCGUAGAGAUCGGAAAGAACACCAACGGCGAAAGCACUCUGCUGGGCCGACACUGACACUGAGAGACGAAAGCUAGGGGAGCGAAUGGG